AUGAAUCGUGCCCAGGACCGUUUGAAACAGGCAGACAAGCAUCGCUCCGAUCGUACCUUCGCCGUCGGGGAACAGGUCCUCCUCAAGCUCCAACCUUAUGUCCAAGCCUCCGUUGCCGGCCGCCCCUGUCGGAAGUUGGCGUAUAAGUUCUUUGGACCAUUCACCGUCCUGGAACAUAUUGGCAACCUAGCCUAUCGCCUGGAGCUUCCACCGGAUGGGCACAUCCACCCGGUGUUUCACAUUUCCUAGCUCAAGCCUUUCGUCCCCAGCUACACUCCAGUCUUCUCUGAGCUACCCAAGGUACCUGACUUGAUGACGACGCCCCUGAAGUCGAUCGCCAUUCAGGAAUGAAGAAUGGUGAAGAAAGGGGAUGCAGCUCUUGUUCAGAUACGAGUGCAAUGGUCUACACUGCCUGCUGAUGCUACUACGUGGGAAGACUACGACAUUCUCCGCAAGCGUUUCCCUCAAGUGGAACUCUGGGAAGAAGAAGAAGCAUCUGCUCAAGACGGGGCGACUGUAAUGCCUUCAGGUUCAGGUUCGUCAGGUAACUGA
rnacentral:rRNA from 1 species